rnacentral:rRNA from 1 species
AACGAACGCUGGCGGCAUGCUUAACACAUGCAAGUCGCACGGGGUAGCAAUACCUAGUGGCGAACGGGUGAGUAACACAUAGGAAUCUGCCUUAAAGAGGGGGAUAGCUGUUGGAAACGACAGGUAAUACCGCAUAAUCCCUAAGGGGUAAAGGAGCAAUCCGCUUUAAGAUGUGCCUAUGGCUGAUGAGCUAGUUGGUGGGGUAAGAGCCUAGCAAGGCGACAAUCUGUAGCUGUUCUGAGAGGAAGACCAGCCACAUUGGAACUGAGACACGGUUCAGACUCCUACGGGAGGCAGCAGUGGGGAAUAUUGGACAAUGGGGGAAACCCUGAUCCAGCAAUGCCGCGUGAGUGAAGAAGGCCUUCGGGUUGUAAAGCUCUUUUACAGGUGAAGAUAAUGACUGUAACCUGAGAAUAAGCUCCGGCUAACUUCGUGCCAGCAGCCGCGGUAA